GAGUGUAUAGCUCAGCGAUAAGAGCGCGUGCUUAGCGUGCACAAGUUCCUGGGUUUAAUCCCCCAGUACCUCCA
rnacentral:tRNA from 1 species